rnacentral:tRNA from 1 species
GGCUUCGUGGUGUAAUGGUCAGCAUACUCAACGCGUAAUGGAGAAGUCUGUGGUUCGAGUCCCGGCGAGGGCG